rnacentral:rRNA from 1 species
AUUGAACGCUGGCGGCAGGCUUAACACAUGCAAGUCGAGCGGUAACAGAGAGAAGCUUGCUUCUCUGCUGACGAGCGGCGGACGGGUGAGUAAUGCCUAGGAAUCUGCCUAGUAGUGGGGGAUAACUUGCCGAAAGGUAAGCUAAUACCGCAUACGUCCUACGGGAGAAAGGAGGGGACCUUCGGGCCUUUCGCUAUUAGAUGAGCCUAGGUCGGAUUAGUUAGUUGGUGAGGUAAUGGCUCACCAAGACCGCGAUCCGUAACUGGUCUGAGAGGAUGAUCAGUCAGACUGGAACUGGGACACAGUCCAGACUCCUACGGGAGGCAGCAGUGGGGAAUAUUGGGCGAUGGGGGGAACGCUGAUCCAGCCAUGCCGCGUGUGUGAAGAAGGUCUUAGGAUUGUAAAGCACUUUAAGUUGGGAGGAAGAGCAGUUAACUAAUAUUUGACUGUUUUGACGUUACCGACAGAAUAAGCACCGGCUAACUUCGUGCCAGCCGCCGCGGUAA